UACCUUUAGCAGUGGGCAAAGAGGCACCUUGUCCUUGGUGUCAUUCUUAUAUCAGUCAGGGACAAAGCAGAUGGCAGUCCUUUGUUCGUCCUAGUUUGAUGCCUGGCUUACUGGCCAAGGUUGACUUAAUGUCUAGGACUCCUAA